GUCCACGCCCUAAACGAUGUCAACUGGUUGUCGGGGAAGUUUUUCCUUGGUAACGAAGCUAACGCGUGAAGUUGACCGCCUGGGGGAGUACGGCCGCAAGGUUAAAACUCAAAGGAAUUGACGGGGACCCGCACAAGCGGUGGAUUAUGUGGAUUAAUUCGAUGCAACGCGAAAAACCUUACCUACCCUUGACAUGUGCGGAAUGGGGUAGAGAUACCUCGGUGCCCGAAAGGGAACCGCAACACAGGUGCUGCAUGGCUGUCGU
rnacentral:rRNA from 1 species